CCUACGGGAGGCAGCAGUGGGGAAUAUUGGGCAAUGGGCGAAAGCCUGACCCAGCAACGCCGCGUGAAGGAAGAAGGCUUUCGGGUUGUAAACUUCUUUUGACCGGGAAGAGCAGCAGACGGUACCUGUCGCCUCAGCCACGGCUCACUACGUGCCCGCAGCCGCGGUAAUACGUAGGUGGCAAGCGUUGUCCGGAUGUACUGGGGGUAACGGGCGUGUAGCCGGGCUGACAAGUCAGAUGUGAAAUCCGGGGGCUCAAACCCCGAACUGCAUUUGAAACUGUUGGUCUUGAGUAUGGGAGAGGCAGGCGGAAUUCGUAGUGUAGCGGUGAAAUGCGUAGAUAUUAGGCGGAACACCAGUGGCGAAGGCGGCCUGCUGGACGACAACUGACGGUGAGGCGCGAAAGCGUGGGGAGCAAACAGGAUUAGAUACCCGUGUAGUC
rnacentral:rRNA from 1 species